rnacentral:lncRNA from 1 species
CAGGAAACUUGGCGUAUGUCGCAAGUCACGACUUCACAGGAGAGCCAUUUGAAUGGAGGGCAUGACUGUGUAUCUGAAGCAGUUGAUCAUUGAACAUCACACACUCUUCAAACAGUUGUACCCACAUAAAAACAUAAUACCCAAACAUCACUUUAUGAUACAUUACCCAGCAUGCAAAAGACAAAUCGAUCCUUUCUUACGCACAGUAUGUGGAGCAUGAGGUUUGAGGCAAAGCACAAACUCUUUAAGAGCUCGAUAGUCAAUACAUGGGCGCAGACCCCACUCUUUCUUCUUCACAAAAAAGAAACUCGAGGAGGCAGGUGAAGUAGAGGACUGAAUGUACCCCUGACGCAGGGAUUCGGAGACAUAAGUUUCCAUAGCCACCGUCUCCACCUGUGAGAGGGGAUACACGUGACUCCUGGGAAGUGCAGCGUCUACCAGGAGAUUUACCGGACCAUGCCCCCCGACGAUGGGGUGGUAAUUGAGUCGCCUUCUUUUUGGAGAAGGCGAGAGCCAAAUCGGAAGUAUUCGGGGGGAAUGUGCACGGUGGAGACCUGGUCUGGACUUUCCACCGUAGUAGCACCAACGGAAACCCCUAAACACCUCCCCGAUCACUCUCGCGAACACCCCGUGAGAGCCCUCCGUUGCCAUGAAACAGUGGGGUCAUGACAGGCUAACCAGUGUAGGCCUAGCACCACGGGAAACACAGGAGAGUCAAUGAGGAAGAGACUGAUUCUCUCCUUGUGACCCCCCUGCGUCACCAUGCCCAGAGGACCGGUGGCCUCCCUAAACAACCCUGACCCUAAUGGUCGACUGUCUAAGGCGUGAACUGGGAAGGGCAUAGCCACUGGAACAAUGGGGAUCCCUAAACUAUGGGCGAAUGAUCUGUCUAUGAAAUUCCCAGCUGUGCCUGAAUCGACGAGCGCCUUAUGCGGGGAAAACUCAGGAAAAGUAACAUACAAAAACAGGUGUGCAACAGAGGGCUCUGGGUGAGAAUGUUGCCGGCUUACCUGGGGUGAUGCCAGAGUGCCCUGCCUGCUGCCUCGACCCCCAGAGGAACUAACACGACACCGACCGGCAGUGUGACCUCUGCGGCCACAGAUGGUGCACGUGAAGGAACCUCCUCCGGUGUGCAGCACCUCCCAGCUCCAUGGGUAUUGGAGCAGUAGUGCUGGGGGAUGAAACCGAAAGGUCCAGCUCUGAACGUCCGCGGAUAGCCAGCAGGUUAUCCAGCUGAAUGGACAGGUCCACCAGCUUGUCAAAAGUGAGGGUGGUGUCCCUACAAGCCAACUCCCAACGGACGUCCUCACGCAAACUGCAGCGAUAGUGGUCGAUCAGGGCCCUGUCGUUCCAUCCCGCACUGGCGGCCAGGGUCCAAAAGUCAAUCGCGAACUCCUGCGCGCACCUCGUCCCCUGCCUCAGGUGGAAAAGACGUUCAGGUGGAAAAGACGCGGGUGAAAUCCACACAGCGUUGGCCCACUCCAAGGCUUUCCAAGAGAGGCACGAGACGAGGACGGACACCCUCUCACGGCCCGAGGGAGCCGGGUGGACGGUCGCCAG